AACGAACGCUGGCGGCAUGCCUAACAUAUGCAAGUCGAACGAGACCUUCGGGUCUAGUGGCGCACGGGUGCGUAACGCGUGGGAACCUGCCCUUAGGUUCGGAAUAACUCCCCGAAAGGGGUGCUAAUACCGGAUAAUGUCUUCGGACCAAAGAUUUAUCGCCUUUGGAUGGGCCCGCGUUGGAUUAGCUAGUUGGUAGGGUAAAAGCCUACCAAGGCGACGAUCCAUAGCUGGUCUGAGAGGAUGAUCAGCCACACUGGGACUGAGACACGGCCCAGACCCCUCCGGGGGGCGGCAGGGGGGAUUAUUGGACAGUGGCCAAACGCUUAACCCACCAUUGCCGCGUGAGAAAUGAAGCCCUUGGGGUUGAAAACUUUUUUUCCCGGGAAGAAAAAGCACAGUCCGGGAAAAAAAGCCCCCGCCUACCCCCGUC
rnacentral:rRNA from 1 species